rnacentral:ribozyme from 1 species
UGCCCAGCAACUCUUAUCCCUACCUCCGCGUGGUACCGGCAGGAAACUACGAUUAGCCAUAGGGAAG